CGGGGUGUAGCGCAGUCCGGUUAGCGCACUACGUUCGGGACGUAGGGGUCGUGAGUUCGAAUCUCACCACCCCGA
rnacentral:tRNA from 1 species